rnacentral:rRNA from 1 species
GACGAACGCUGGCGGCGUGCCUAAUACAUGCAAGUAGAACGCACAGUUUAUACCGUAGCUUGCUACACCAUAGACUGUGAGUUGCGAACGGGUGAGUAACGCGUAGGUAACCUGCCUGGUAGCGGGGGAUAACUAUUGGAAACGAUAGCUAAUACCGCAUAAUAUUAAUUAUUGCAUGAUAAUUAAUUGAAAGGUGCAAUUGCACCACUACCAGAUGGACCUGCGUUGUAUUAGCUAGUAGGUGAGGUAACGGCUCACCUAGGCGACGAUACAUAGCCGACCUGAGAGGGUGAUCGGCCACACUGGGACUGAGACACGGCCCAGACUCCUACGGGAGGCAGCAGUAGGGAAUCUUCGGCAAUGGACGAAAGUCUGACCGAGCAACGCCGCGUGAGUGAAGAAGGCUUUCGGAUCGUAAAGCUCUGUUGUAAGAGAAGAACGGGUGUGAGAGUGGAAAGUUCACACUGUGACGGUAUCUGACCAGAAAGGGACGGGUAACUACGUG